rnacentral:tRNA from 27 species
GAGAGCGUAGCUCAGCUGGUAGAGCAACUGACUUUUAAUCAGUAGGUCAUGGGUUCGAGCCCCAUCGCUCUCACCA